rnacentral:rRNA from 1 species
CCAAUAGCGUAUAUUAAAGUUGUUGCAGUUAAAAAGCUCGUAGUUGAACCUUAGGCCCGUGCGGGCGGUCCGUCCUCAGGGCGAGCACUGCCUCGUCGCGGGUCUCACCUUCUGGCGAGCGUCGAUGCCAUUCACUUGGUGUCUUCGGGAACCAGGACCUUUACCUUGAAAAAAUUAGAGUGCUCAAAGCGGGCUCGUACGCUUGAAUACAUUAGCAUGGAAUAAUGAAAUAGGACGACGGUUCUAUUUUGUUGGUUUCCGGGAUUGUCGUAAUGAUUAAUAGGGAUAGUUGGGGGCAUUCGUAUUCAAUUGUCAGAGGUGAAAUUCUUGGAUUUAUUGAAGACGGACUACUGCGAAAGCAUUUGCCAAGGAUGUUUUCAUUAAUCAAGAACGAAAGUCAGAGGUUCGAAGACGAUCAGAUACCGUCGUAGUUCUGACCAUAAACGAUGCCAACUGGCGAUCCGCCGUGCCUUCGUCAAGGAGUCGGCGGGCAGCCUCCG